rnacentral:rRNA from 1 species
UACGUAGGGGGCUAGCGUUGUCCGGAAUCAUUGGGCGUAAAGCGCACGUAGGCGGCUUUGUAAGUUAGAGGUGAAAGCCCGGGGCUCAACCCCGGAAUUGCCUUUAAGACUGCACCGCUAGAAUUGUGGAGAGGUAAGUGGAAUUCCGAGUGUAGAGGUGAAAUUCGUAGAUAUUCGGAAGAACACCAGUGGCGAAGGCGACUUACUGGACACAUAUUGACGCUGAGGUGCGAAAGCGUGGGGAGCAAACAGG